rnacentral:rRNA from 1 species
UACAGAGGUCUCAAGCGUUGUUCGGAUUCAUUGGGCGUAAAGGGUGCGCAGGCGGCGUGGAAAGUUGAGUGUGAAAUCCCGAGGCUCAACCUCGGAACUGCACUCAAUACUCCCAUGCUUGAGGACUGUAGAGGAGAUCGGAAUUCACGGUGUAGCAGUGAAAUGCGUAGAUAUCGUGAGGAAGACCAGUAGCGAAGGCGGAUCUCUGGGCAGUUCCUGACGCUCAUGCACGAAGGCCAGGGGAGCAAACGGG